ensembl:lncRNA
AUUUGCAAGUUUUUUUUUUAGAUAAUACAAUUUAUUUUAAAGAAAAUUGUAAAUGCCACUAAGAGCUGUGACCCAUGGAUUCUUUGGGUGACAGGUAUAUGAAAUUCCUUCUUCCUGUUUACUCGUUUGGUGCUGUGAUCUCCCAACUGUUGUUAUUAAUUCCCACUGAGCCUAAUUUAAACCAAAAGCUCGCUGUGGAGACUGAGUUUCAUCAGACGACACUCCUGGGAAGCCUCCAAUGCUACAAUACUACAUUUUGGUUUGCCAAACAAGUUAAAUUUCUCACAUUCCUCUUAAAACUUUAGAGCAACUGACCUAAGAAUGCAUUAAAGCAAUACUUGAGCUGUGUCUCCACCUGAAGAUCUCACAAAGCACUAACAUUCAUUAACACUCAUCUCCAGGGCCCAGCCUCUUCUUGUGCCGUGCGAGGUAAACUUCCUUCUGCCAAGAAGAUUAAGAGUUUGACAUCACACAGGAUAUAUAUAUAUGAUCGCUGCCAGGAAAUGUGAAGGACAUCCAGGAAAAUUCCAACCAGGUACUGAAACCUGCGAGGAUGCUUUCGUUUCAGUAACUUUGUGGCUACAAUGAGGGGAAAUGAGCCACUGUAACAACAUCCGGAGUCAUCCAAGCAUAUCACUCCAUGGUCAGCCUCACUGUCACACGGUCAUGACAUCAUUUUUAAAAAUAUGUUGCAGCUUAAGAGCCAAAUGAAGUUGGAAAUGAAUGUCCUGAGCGGCGGCUCACUUACGUUUGUCUCUUAACACCCUGGAAAGGUCUAUUUAUUUCUUUGCUUUUCCAUGAUCAGCUGACUUACUCCGUGGGUCAAAACCUCAUCCCCCCAAGACACAAAAAACAAGAGAAGAAGCCCUCAAAACCCACAAUUAGCAGACCAGAUGGCCUCCUGUUUGGCGGAAAUCUCCCUGAGGUGACCUCAGGUGACCUGGCCUCCAGCUGGUAGCAUGUUAGCUGUAAAUGAAUUUAAUCUGGUCCCAAGAUCUCAGGUCUUCAGUCUUGUCAGUUCUUAAAUGGGUCUAAUUAGACCAGUCUCUUCUGAUUCACAACAGGAUAUAUCCAUGCAUAUGAUUUUUCAAAUAAAGGAACGAAUAGGAGAGAAGCAGUAAUAUUGAGGCCUGUCUGAAUAAAGGAAAUUCUCCAAUUUCAACAACUGUGCCGUAAGAUGGGCACUUGGAUGAUAUCUUCUGGGAAAACUCACUGGGCAUACGUAUGUCUCUUUGUAUAUGUACACGUAUGAAUAUUCACAUGUGUAUGCGUGUUUCCAUACAUGGGUGUGGAGGAGGUCAACUUCAGGUGUCCUUCUUCAUGAGCCACCACAUGGAUUUUUAAUACAGGGUCUUUCACUCAAACAUGAGGCUGAAAGAUUAGUUUAUUGUGGCUGACCAGCAAGACCUGGAGAUCUACCUGUCUGUCCUUCCCCAGUGCCAGCGUGUACCUAGGUUUUUACACGUGUUCUACGGGUUGAACCCAGGUCUUCAUGUUAAUGUAACAAGACUAAGUUAUCUGUUGAGCCUCUAGGAGAACUCGCUUAUUCCUAGUUUCCAUAUGAGUGAUCUAUUGAUAUUGAUUCUCCCCCAUCUUUCUUUUUUCUCUGUCUCUGUCUCCGUCUCUGUCCCUACCCUGAACCCCCCCCACACACACACACACAAAUAAGAGAGAGAGAAGAUGAUGGGGGGAGGUGAAGAUGACAGACAGACAGACAGACAGACAGACAGACAGACAGACAGUUAAUGUGUGUGUGUCCCUCCUGUGUAAUUCCAUCACCGUCCACCAAACACAUUUGCAGCCCUUUCGAGAAAAUUCAGCCACAUCCCAAUGGAGUCACUACACAGAAAACACAGCUGAGAGUCAUUUUCUCCAUCUAGUUUUGAGGUGCCUCACACUACCCAUGCUGGGCACUCCCAAGGGGACGCUAGUGAUCCCCAUGAAUCAUGUGAGCAAAGGUUGCUCCAGCUGGCGGUCGGCACGGCAAACAAAGCAUCAAGUGCAGAGAUGCCCAGUCUAGGAGACAGGGCUCUCCAACUUCCAACUAGGCACUUGUGAUCGUUAAUCUUGGCUGUCAAUUUAAUUAGCUUGGGAGGUGCCUGGGACAUUAGUUAAGGAUUCCUCUGAGUGUGUCCUGGGAAGGUGUUUCCAGAGAUGAUUGGCAUGUGGGACAGCAGCUGGGGUGGGAAGAACCACCUUCAAUGUGGGUGACAUAUCCAAUAAGCUGAGGAGCUGAUAGAAGGAAAGCAGGAUGAAGAUCCCCCCCGACACACACACACACACACACACACACACACACACACACACACACACUCUCCAUCUCUUGCUCUGCUUCCUGGCUCCCAUAUGGGAACUGCUCGCUCCACAAGUUCUUCUGUCACAAUGAGCUCAAACCUCAGAAACCAUGGGCCAAGAUAAGUCUUUCCUCCUUUAAACUGUGUCUUCCCAGGUAUCUGUCAUAGCAAGGAAAAGCCUGACAAACUUGAGGACUGAUGUUUGUUUGCUUGUUUGUUGAGACAAAGUCUUCUCUAUGUAGCAUUGGCUGUGCUGGAACUAGCUAUGUAGACCAGGCUAGCUUCUUCAGAACUGAUCUUAAAUGUUACAGGGACACAGAAACCAUUUGCAUUGCUACUAUGGUAGCCUAUCAGGAGUAAUAUUUAAUUCUCACUUGUCUUUUGGUUUCUAAACCCUGAUGCCUUCAACAGUGGGUCAAAUUAUUUGAUUAUUGCAUUUGGUCCUUUGAGAAUACCAACUAGGAGAAGCUAUAGUGAGAUUAUACUCUGCAUCCGGGCAGCAGCUGAGUGGAAGCUGUUUGCGCUCAGAUGUUUAGUGGCCAAGUUGUCCUCAAGACAUAAGGAGGAGGACCUUGGACUAAACCAUGGAGGGUGCAGGACUAAAGAGCCCAAGCCCUACUGGGACAACCUGCAUCCAAAGUGAGGCAGAGGAGGGCAGAGAAUGCACUGAAAUUAGUAUACAAUAUGUAAGUAACAGUUCUCUGCACCUAACACCCCUACCUCAAUUCGGUCACCCAGCGCCUCCUCCUUGUUGCUUCCCCUCUGGUGACCGCUGCUUGAUGUAAACAAGAUCUCACCAGGAUAAGAUGUUGUGGUGGUUAAAAUAAAAAUGGCCUCCACUGGUUCAUAAGUUUGAAUACUUGGUCCAGUUGCUGGAACUCUUUGGGAAGGAUUAGGAUGUGUGACUUUGUUAAGAGAUGUGUCAUUGGGGCCCACUCCCUGUCUCUCUGUCUCUGUUUCCUUGGCUCUCUGUCUUUCUUUCUGUCUCUCUGUCUCUGUCUCUCUGUCUCUAUCUCUCUGUUUCUCUCUCUGUCUCUCUGUCUAUCUGUCUCUCUGUCUCUCUCUGUCUCUCUGUCUCUCUCUCUGCCAAGCUCCCUACCCAUGAUAGUCAUGGACUCUAACCCUCUGAAAUCUUGAGCACCACAUUAAAUGCUUCCUUCCAUAAAUUGCCUUGGCCUUGGUAUCUUAUCAGAGAAGCAAAAAGUAAGACAGCAAGACAGAUAUCUCAAGCAGAAACAAAGACUAUCGCUUACAGCCUUAUCCCGGGAGGCACUUCCUGGACUCUCUCAUGAAGACAGUGUGUAGUAGGUGAAGAAAAGAUUGGCACUUUCCAAUACACUUUCUCUCCUACUGUCUAAAAUGUCUUGAGCACUGGUUCACAAACAACAUGGUCCAUCUUAGAGGUGUUUUUGAGUACCAGAUAGACAGGUGCUCAACAUGUGUUUGUUUUGCUUUUACACGUAGCUUUUGUAGACACAGAUUCUUUAGGGGAAAAACAAUAGAGGGUUGAGAAAAAAUUGUGGUGUCAGAGGAUUUUGUAUUAAUUUGACUGUAAAGUUUUUAAACCUGUAUGCAUUCCUUUAGCAAGAGCACCACAGUGUCUAUGGUGGAGAUGGGAUGACAGUUCUUGGCGAAAGUCAGUUCUCUCCUUCCGCUCUGUGGGUCUUGGGGAUUGAACUCACAUCCUCAGGCUUGGCAGCAAGUGUCACUAUUCAUUGAGGCAUCUCAAGAGAACAACAACAACAACAAAAAUCAAUGUGAGCUUUGUCAAGAGAGUCAUGGAUCUCAGCUGACUUCCGUAACAGUGCAUUAAGUCCCAAAGAGUGUCUACUAAGGACUCCCACAGGCUUCUCCCUGUGGCUUUGCUAACUCACUCAGGCUGUAUCUGGCUGGCCUUAGGGUGAGCCUCUUUUGCUGUUCACUGACCUCUCUCUUUUGCAAUCUGGGAGAAGGGAAAAACUUCUCAACUUGAAAGUCCUCUCUGCUGGUUGGUCCCUCAUGUUCUGGUUUUAAUAAUGAAGCACCACUCUUCUCAACAAAGCUCUCACAAGCUGAACGCUGUUUCACAAUUUGCUUAUUUUCAUUUCUUGGGGAACUCUCUGCAGUACACUCUGUUCAGUAGGGGACAUCUGCCUGUGGGUUUUUGUCACCAGGAGGUCACUUACUGCAUGCCUCAGUAUGCCUGGGUGCAGCGAUAACUGCCAUAGGGAGUGACAUACAUACAUACAUACAUACAUACAUACAUACAUACACACACACACAUGCACACACACACACACACACUCCCACUGGCAGAGAACAUAUAAAGGUAUGUCUAUGAAGGUGUGUUCAAAGUGGACAAUGUGCCCAGUGUCCCUCUGAAAGUGUCCAGCCUGCUGCUGGGCUUGGAUCUUCAACACUCAGAAACACUAUAACACUGAGUGCUUUAGUAAAAGUGGGCUUGGGUCCUCUGGAAGUUCUGCUUACUCUGUGAGUAUUAACUUCCCAGGAACAUUUUGCAUUUUCAUGGGAUGCUGGGGUGAGAAUCAGGAUAAUAGAUGCUUCUGUUUCACUCUUGAAGCCCUGGUCUUCCCAUGGCUGAUUUGCAAGUGAAAUCCUACCCUGGCUUUGUUUGCACUGGACUUCGCUUGUGAGGCUAUAAAGUACUUUGAAUGGAUUCCCCUCUGCUCUCCUCCCCCCCCCCUUCCCGCUUGCCCCACAGACUGGCUGGCUUCAAGCUUCAUGCCAUACACACAUUCAUGAUUUUUAUGUGCUCAUAUAAAAUCUGGGACCACGAAUGAAUAAAAUCGUGUGUCUUUUUGUCUUUCUGGGACUAACUCAGUUUGCUUAAUAUAAUUAUCUCAACUUUCAUGAUUUUCCAGUAAACAACAUAAUUUCAUUCUUCUUCAUGGCUGAAAAGAAAAAUUCCAGACGUCUAUAUUUUAAGAUCUGUCACAUCUCACAAAGACCAAAAAUCUUAGAUAAAAGAGAAACUGUAAGGAACACAUCACCAAAGCUAGAAGUCAAUUGCACCUAAAUAUAGAUUAUCAUUAGAUUUUUCAAUAUCUAUGUAUGUCAUUGGGUCUUGAGUAAACUAAUUGGUUGAAUAUGAAAUAGUCUCCAAACCAAAUAACAUACGGUGGCAAUACUUGACAAGGAAGCCAAAUGGCCUCUUUCACUGUUAAAUGGUGUUUCUAGCAGCGGCGUGCUGCCACUGGACCCUGCAGACUCUCAAGGGCCAGUGCCUUCACUCUACCAUGUGGUGUAGUCUACUGGCAGCUUUAAACUAGUGGGAAGAUUUACUGUGUAGCACAAGCCACAUACUGCAUCUUGAUUUUUCCCUGGACAAAUGAGUACUGGACACUCACAUCUCUCAUGGUAGGUAGGCCUUCCUUCCAAACUUCCUUCACGUGAAGCAUGUUGACACAUGGAGGCUGUGUGACAGUCUAGAUCUAGGUUGAGCCUUUGUUCCUCGUUGGAACAGUAGUAUGCACAGAGUCAGGGGUGCCCGGGAUGGAGGCAUCUCUGAGAAUUGAAGUUGGAUGCUCAAGCCUGCCUAAUGGAGAGCAGUUACAGCCUUAAGGGUAGGGAGAAGUUACCACCUUAAGGGUGGGCCACUUCUUUCCUUCCUGUACUCGGGGUUUUCUUCUUAGUCUAACCCUUCCUUCAUCAGUUUUUCUCCUAGGUUUUAAUUCUUAAAUUCAAUUUGGCUUUGAAUUUUUUAUUGAAUUGAAUAUAUAUCUAUUUUUAUACCUAUAUCUAUAGCUAUCUGUCUGUCUGUCUAUUCAUCUAUCUGUCUGUCUGUCUAUCCAUCUAUCUAUCUGUAUGUCUGUCUGUCUAUUCAUCUAUCUGUCUAUCCAUCUAUCUAUCUGUCUGUAUGUCUAUCUAUCUAUCUAUCUAUCUAUCUAUCUAUCUAUCUAUCUAUCUAUCUAUCUAUCUAUCUAUCUAGAGUGGAGAGUUUUUCUGUGUAGCCCUGGCUGUCCUGGAACUCACUCUGUAGAUCAGGCUGGCCUUGAACUCAGAGACCCACCUGCCUCUGCCUCCCAAGUACUGGGACUAAAGUUGUGCACCACCAACUACCACAUAGCUUCUUCUAGAUAUUUUUAAUCUCUCGUUCAGACCAUGAUUCUGUUAGGUAAGAUAUGAAUCAC